rnacentral:lncRNA from 1 species
CAACUGCCAGAAAAGAGACUAUCUCAAGUAUACCAACCCCCCAGAGUCCCAAGCAACUGCGGGAAUUCCUGGGGACCGCAGGUUUCUGUAGACUCUGGAUUCCUGGGUUUGCUGAAAUAGCAGCCCCCUUGUAUCUACUAACUAAGCAAGGUAACUCCUUUGCUUGGACUAAGGAACAUCAAUUGGCAUUUGAUAACAUCAAAUUGGCUCUUCUGUCAGCCCCUGCUUUGGGCUUACCGGACAUUACCAAGCCCUUUGAUCUGUUUAUAGAUGAAAAACGGGGAUAU